UGUGUGGGGUGGACGAUCGCGGCUGGUUAAUCCAGGUGAGGAAAGUCCGGGCUUCGCAGGGCAGGAUGCCGGAUAACGUCCGGUGGAGGUGACUCUAAGGAAAGUGCAACAGAAAAUAACCGCCACGAAAGUGGUAAGGGUGAAAAGGCGGUGUAAGAGACCACCGUGCCUCUGGUAACAGCAGGUAGCCAUGUAAACCCCAUCCGAAGCAAGACCAAAUAUGGAGACCAUAGGGCGGCCCGUCCUGUCUCCGGGUAGGUCGCUUGAGGCGGCUGGUAACAGUCGUCCUAGACAGAUGAUCGUCUUAAAUGACAUAACCCGGCUUAUAGCCCCACACAUUUA
rnacentral:RNase_P_RNA from 1 species